GGGGAAACAGGUUUCAUUCUUGAUGGCUUUCCCCGCACUCAUAUUCAGGCCGAAACUCUUGAUCAAAUCGCUCAGAUUGACCUCGUUGUAAAUCUGAAAUCCUCUGAGGAGCCUCUGGUAAACCGAAAUGUUCUAAA